CGGCACAGCACAUCCAUACGGCCGCCCUCGGUGACAUGGCUAUUGCGUCAUCAGCAGCGUCAGCGGCAGGCACACAGGAAGUGACACAAAAGAAGGAAGUACGGCUCGUGAAAAACAGGGUGGCAGCCCGCCAGUACCGGAGGAGGAAGGCCGAGUACCUCAUAUGGCUGGUGAGACGGGUGUCUCACCUGGAGGACCACAACAAAAGGCUCAUGGAGGAACUCAGCACCCUGAAAAACCUUAGGGGAUUUUAAAAAUAAAUACAUUUGGUUUGUUAUUGAUUUUUUGAUUUUAUGUGUUUGUUUACUUGACACAAAAAGCUGACUGUUGGGCUACAAGUUUUAUAUCAAAUACAAGUUUGAAAAUGUGCUUGAAAAUAUGAUUUUAUCACUGUCGCAAAAACAGUCCUUUGUGUGAACAGGCGCGUUAAUUUCAGAAGCACACUGAUGCUUCUUUUUUUUUUUACAAUCAGGAAUAUCAGAGGUGUCAAGUGAUCGACUGCUUCAGGAAACAGAAUUUUAAGUUUUAACAGGUCUCCAAAGCAAUGUUCCAAACAACUGAAUGAUAUGAAUUGAUAUGAACUGGUGGUGAAGUGACAAGCGGAAAGAAAAUCAAAUCAAAUCAACUGACACUUUUCAGUGCUGCACCACAAACACUAGAUGGCGGUGGAUAACCAUCCCUGUGCUGCUCGGACACGUUCAUGUUUAAAAUGUUUUAUACAUUAAUUUUUUUUUUUUUUUUCAAAAAAGCAAUUUGUGUUCAAUACAAAGAUUAAAAUUUAUA